ensembl:lncRNA
ACUACUGAAGCGACUUAGCACGCACCCGCGCACGCAUGCCCAUAUAGUCAGAGUUAAGAAUUUCCCUGCAAUCACUGCAUUAGCUGCUUCCCAGAAAUUGUGAUUUGAUGUUGUUUUCAUUAUCACUCAGUUCGAUAUUUUCCAGUCUCCCUUAUGAGUUCUUCUUUGAUCCGUGGGUUACUUAGGGAUAUGCUAUCUGAAUAUUUGGGAUUUCCUACAUAUUUUAUUGUUAUUGGUUUGUUAAUUGUGAUCAGAGAACAUACUCAAGAUUUCAGUAUUCUAAUGAAACUUAUUUCCUGGCCCAGAUUAUAGUCUCUUUCUGAUAGACGUGAAAAUUUUUAAAUCUUGCUGUUGUUCAGUGUAGUGUUCUAUAAAUGUGGACUAGGUCAGGUUGGCCCACAACUUUGGUAGGAUUUUUCUAUAUCCUUGCCAAUUUUUAAAAAAUUAGUUUUUUUUUUUAAUCAAUCACUCAGAAAGGGCUGUUAAUAUCUCCUACAAUGAUUUGGGCUUUAUCUGCUUCUGUCUUUACUUUUGUUCAUUUUUGCUUCCUGAUUUUUUUUUCCUUCAAGAACCUUGCUGCUGUUUUAUGGAAAGUGAAAGUGAAAGUCACUCAGUUGUGUCUGAUUCUUUGCGACCCCAUGGACUAUACAGUCCAUGGAAUUCUUCAGGCCAGAAUUCUGGAGUGGGUAGCCUAUCCCUUCUCCAGUGGAUCUUCCCAACCCGGGGAUCGAACCUAGGUCUCCGGCAUUGCAGGAGGAUUCUUCACCGGCUGAGUUACCAGGGAAGCAGCAGCAUCCACAAUUGCCGAAAGAUGGAAAUAACCCACGUGUCCAUCAACCGACGGAUGGGCACACAGAUUAUGGUGUAGCCAUACAAUGGAAUAUGAUUCAGCCAUAACAAGGAACCCAGUGCUGGUGCAGCCACUGUGGAAAACAGUAUGGAGGUUUCUGAACUAAAAAUAGGGUUGCCAUAUGAUCCAGCAAUCCCAUUCCUGGGCACACACCCAACAAAACUGUAAUUCCAAAGGAUACAUGUGCCCCUGUGUUCACAACAGCACUAUUCACAAGAGCCAAGACGGAAGCAACUUCAAUGCCCAUCAGCAGAUGCACGGAUAAAGAUGCGGUACACAGUUAAAUGGAAUAUUACUCAGCCACGAAAAAGAAAUAAUGCUAUUUGCAGCAACCUGCACAGACCUAGAGAUGAUCAUACUGAGUGAAAUAAGUCAAACAGAGAAAGACAAACAUAUAUGAUAUCACGUAUACGUGGAAUCUAAAAUACGACAUAAAUGAACAUAGUUAUGAACCAAAAACAGACUCACAGUCACAGAGAACACAUUUGUGCUUGACAGGGGGUGGGAGGGCAGGAUCGGGAGUCUGGGAUUAGCGGAUGCAAACUAGUGUAUAUAUGCAGGACGGAUGAACAAGCAAGACCUGCUGUGCAGCACGUGAGACUAGAUUCGAUAUCCUCUGAUAAACCAUGGCAGAAAAAAUACGAAAAAGAAUAUUUAGAUCUAUAACUGAGUCACUUUGCUGGACAGCAGAAAUUAACACAACAACGCAAAUCAACUAUGCUUCAAUAAAAUAAAAAAAAUUUUUUUUUAAUUUAAAAGG